UACGUAGGGUGCGAGCGUUAAUCGGAAUUACUGGGCGUAAAGCGUGCGCAGGCGGUUUUGUAAGCCAGAUGUGAAAUCCCCCGAGCUUAACUUGGGAACUGCAUUUGGGACUGCAAGGCUAGAGUACGGCAGAGGGGGGUAGAAUUCCUGGGUGUAGCGGUGAAAUGCGCAGAUAUCGGGAAGAACACCCGGUGGCGAAGGCGGGCUCUCGGCGGA
rnacentral:rRNA from 1 species